rnacentral:lncRNA from 1 species
AUGUUUUUUAUCGUUGAUUUCUGCAUGAAUAUAGUUAAGUUUAUUAAAAGUAUUUACUCCAAUCACAUUAUUAAGUGGUUUCUUACUUGUAUUAAUUUUCUCUUUUAUAACAUUGUCAUAUGUAUAUUCUUCAAUAUUGUGCAUAGAAAAAAUGUUAGAACAGGUUUUAUAUUUUUCAAUUUGGCUAUUUUCUUCGUUCUCACUCUGGCCACUUUUUUCAUUUCCACUCUGAUCACUUUUUUCAUUUCCACUCUGAUCACUUUUUUCAUUUCCACUCUGGCCACUUUUUUCAUUUCCACUCUGAUCACUUUUUUCAUUCCCAUUCUGGCCANNNNNNNNNNUUUUUUUCGUUAUCAUUUACAUAUGUUAAUGCUUUUAUAUACUUAUUAUUGUCAUAAUUUAAUUUAUUAUUAUAAUUAUUAUUAUCAUUAUUAUUAUCAUUAUUAUGUAUAACCUGCUGGUUACACUCAUCAGAUACGAUAAGAUAUUUCUCCUGACUCUUUGGUUUGUUUGGCUUGUUUGUUUCGCUUGUUUCGCUUAUUUCGUUUGUUUCGUUAUGAUUGUUGUUAUUAUUAAACGAAUGCACACUUGUUGUAUUUGUACUUGGAUAUUUUUUUUGUUCAUCACUAUUUAUACUUAUAUUCGAAACAUUUAAAAAAUUUUCUUUAUCAUUAGUAGUUAAAAUAGCAUUUUUGUUGUUAAUAUAAUGUAAAGAUGAAUUUGUUUUCUUUGAUAAAUCAAGUAUAUUAUAUUUUACGUGAUUAUUAAACAAUAAGUUACUAUUACUUGUUUUAUUAUUUUUAUUUUUUAAUUUUUUAUUAUUACCAUUUUUUUCACUAUAAAUAUAAAUACUAUCAAAUGACUUAACUUCUUUAUUUAUUAUUAUUUUUUUUUCUAUACAAUAUUGUGAUAAUUUGUAUAAAGAGCUUUGAUUUUGGAAAUAACUUAAAUCUUCUUUAUAUGAAUUAUUAGCUACUUCUUCAUUCAUUUGUCCCACUUCAUUUUCUUUAUUUUUUACUAUUUCAUUAUUAGUAGUAUUAUUUAUCACUUUAUUAUCAUUUAAACUAUUCAUAUAUUUUAAAAAAUCAAUUAACUGUGCAUUAAAUUUUAUAUUAUUCUCAUUGCAUACAUUGCAUAUAUCUAACUGUAAUAAUUUCAUAAAUAUAGGACAAAAAUUAUUAUUUUCAAAAAAUGCACCAGGAAUUAUAACUUUUUUAUAAACACUAUUCAUUAAAUUGUUUUUAUUCUUGUUUUGUUCUAAUAAC